UAGAAUUGACGGGGCCCGCACAAGCGGUGGAGUAUGUGGUUAAUUCGAUGCAACGCGAAGAACCUUACCUGGUCUUGACAUCCCGGAGACCCUUAGGAAACUAGGGGGUGCUUCCAUCUGGAAGAAUCUGGAGACAGGUGCUGCAUGGCUGUCGUCAGCUCGUGUCGUGAGAUGUUGGGUUAAGUCCCGCAACGAGCGCAACCCUUGCCUUUAGUUGCCAGCAGUUCGGCUGGGCACUCUAAAGGGACUGCCGGUGUUAAACCGGAGGAAGGUGGGGAUGACGUCAAGUCCUCAUGGCCUUUAUGACCAGGGCUACACACGUACUACAAUGGCCGAUACAAAGGGCAGCGACACUGCGAGGUGAAGCCAAUCCCGUAAAAUCGGUCUCAGUCCGGAUUGGAGUCUGCAACUCGACUCCAUGAAGUUGGAAUCGCUAGUAAUCGUGGAUCGGCAUGCCACGGUGAAUACGUUCCCGGGCCUU
rnacentral:rRNA from 1 species